ensembl:lncRNA
AUGAGAGUCCGAGAGAGUGAGGGCUCAGGUCAUCAGUGCUCCAUAGCGUGCAGCGUGUGGCAGCAGACAGCGGGAGACUCCGCACACAUGUGGACUUCACAUCAGCGCCAGCGGAAGGAUGAGUCGGGGAGACAGCACAGCGGCCCACUCCGAACUUACUUAAGGGCAGAAACAGGCUACAAUAUGGGACCCUUUUUCAAGGUAAAUCUAUUUUAUUUUUUUCAUUAACCACAAUGAUAGAUUUUUUUUUUUUUUAAUGAUUCAUUUGCAUUUAUUUAUAUCCAAAUAUGUAAUGUAACCAUUUAAUAUUUAAUUUAAUUAAUGGUUGACAUACACCAAGGUUACUAAAACUGCAUGCAAUGUCAAAGAAAUACCUUAGUCAUGAGGUUAUUUCACUUGUAAGUUCAGUCACCUAAAAAGAACCACAUCUCAUCUCAUGAUUUGAGAUAUCUAUAGCACAAAUGAAAUGGCACAGAUAAACUGAUGCACCAAAGUUUAAGGCUUCAAAUUACAAACACUGGAAAUGAGCAACAAGAGUAAUGUUUGCCAUAGCAUCAUCAAUGAAUUUUAAUCUAAGAAGCAUGGUAAAGUGUACUAAUCCCCGCUACUGAAACAUAUUCCUCUGUUAGUAACUCAGCAACAUGUGACGUGUCUCCAAAAGGCCAUUACCUCCACUAUUAUUUAAGUACUCUUGUCCUCUUGGACUACAAGAGGGCCAUUUCAAAGUUGAGCACAUGUCCUCGGCUUUGUGGACAUCAGCAAUUGAUCCAAGCAAUGCGCUUCUCCAAGCUUUUUGUUGACGUGUCAGUUGCACACUCCGGUGUCUCGUGAGAGUGGGGCACAUACGCUGCGGAUGAUAGUCCUCUUUGUCUGCUGUCACAAGGCCUGCUUCCAUCUGAAUGGCCUCUGAAUAGGUCUCGCCAGCUGUCAUGCAAAAUGAGUGCAUUUCAUUACAAAUUAAUUUAUCGGAUCUUGAUGCUAUUACUUUUGGUUUCCCCCCUUCUUUCACAUCUCACCCCUCCCUAAUCAUAAUUAUUUAACGCUCCAGGCAACAAUCUAUAGCUCACCAAAAACAAAUAAACAGUGGGUGUCCUCAAUCAUUUGUGAGAGGGCAGAGAUUUUUUUAAUAGAAACAUUAAUAUCAUGCUUUUUUAUGCAGGCUUUAAUGUAGUUAGAGAAGUCUGUCUAACCAUCUAAAAUGUAAAAGGAUACACUUGAUUACCUGUCAUUAUAUGACAACUGGAAAUUUGAUUACAGAAGGAAUUAUAUAUUUAACCGCCGUAAGAAGACCCCAUCCGGAUUUUGCUUGCGGAAAAAAAAUGUGCAAUAUCAUUUGCGUCUUUUAAUCAAGCCUUCGGAUUGUUUGUUUGUCUGGCUCCAUCAAUGAAUGUGAAGCUUUGAAUGAGAGCCUUCUAAUAAAUCACAACUGACGAGUUGAUUAUUUUCUGUCAGUGACGUACACAAUUCAUUUUGCUGGUUUCGACAUGGUCUCAAAAAUAGUAGAAGCUCCAAUCAACCAUUAGAAAUCUUGUGGCGGUAACAUUAGCAUGCCAUUUCUUCAAAUGUUCUUUGAUUUCCAGGUGAACAGAAAGUAAGGUCGCCAUUUACACCCACGUACGUCUGUUCCUUAAGAGUCUUACUUAAAGAGUACUUCAACAUCUCAGCAGCCAAAAAGGGCAACCUGAAGUGGAGCUCAAUGCAGAUCACACCGUUCAAGAGCCAAGCAUCCUCUCAACUUUCUGAGCACACGAUUGUCUGUUUCAAAUCCUACAUGAAAUGGAAAGAAGCCUGUCAAUGAUCCAAAUCUAUUCAGAAGUGCCUCCUUGAUAGACUUUUCCUGAGGUACAGAGAACAUUAAAGUAUUAACAAAAGCUCAGGCUAAUACAAACACCAAUGCACUUUUUAUAAACAGGCUACAAUCAAAUAUUUCACAGUAGAUCUUUUCGCAAGCGUCUUCUAUCAACGCAUCCAGAUUAAGUGCUCUCGUGGUUCGCUAGGGCCUUCAUCACUUUAAAGCUGCUAAUCUCUGGUUCCCAACUGCAGCAAAUCCUAUUAAAAUCACCUUCAGUUUAACACUCACAUUGUUACAAAAUGCAAAACACGCAGCUUUCGCCUUACUCUGUUAAUUGAGGGUAGUGCAUCCCUGUAAAAGCGUGUCUGCGAGCAUGUUAAAUAAAUCGCGUGAAUUUCUCAACGUCUGUCAGGAGGACCUAACGCAUCUCGGAGUUUGGCAAUACAGAUCUCCGUCUAGUUCUCCCUUGGGUGCUCCCUAGGGUCCCGAACGAGGGGAAGGAAGUCUCGUCAGCCCUUCAGUGUGAAAGUGUCAGCUUCUGAGGAUUUGACUGAUUAGGUAAUAUUCCGACAUGUUCUUGUGUAAGCAACAUUUUAAAAACUCAUUUGAAGGAAUCUAUCCCCCCAUAAUUCUUCUUCCAUCCGUCACUCCUUUUCACGCAACUUUCAUCUCUAAGACCCCUUGUCACCGCUUAAGAGUCACUGGCGUUGAUGGCGUUGGCAGGCGUCAGCUUUAGCAAAGCCACUUACUGAAGGGAGCACGUCCCCGGUGGAUGUGAUGAUGUUUAAAUUGCCUGCACCUCUACCACAGCAACCGAGCAUCAGUUAUAGAGUAUGUCCUUGACAGGGCUACUCUGUCAAUCAUGAGGUAAAAACACUCUACUGUCAC